rnacentral:tRNA from 1 species
CUUAGCUCAGUUGGUAGAGCAACCGCCUUGUAAGCGGUAGGUCAUUGGUUCAAGUCCGAUA